CAGAGGUUGGUGGUAAGAGGACGCAGGGAAGACCUGGCUUGUGCUCCUGACUCGGAAGUGCCUGCUGUCCUUUUGAUCAAUCAGAAGAUGCCUUUCUGGCUUUGAUCACCACACAUAAGCCAAGGAUAAACCCAUCUUGUUAAAGCAGGAAGUCCAACCAAAACUAGCUGUUGGAAUCUGAAAAUGAUCUUUUCUCAGAAUCCUGAAAGGAAUAGAAUCUAUAUAUAAUUAUGCAAGAGAUGCUAUUAGCUAGGCCUGUGAGCUCAGAGGUUGGAGCGUCCCCAGUGACCGUCUGCAUGUAGGAGAGCUUCUCCAUUCUUGGAAGAACCAGAACAAGAGAGGCCAAGGCUGCAGCACCAGUCCACACUGAAGGCCUGGAAUCUCCCUGAGAGUCACUGGUGUGAGUCCACGUGGAAAGGCAGAAGCUGGAGUCCCACGUCCACAGUGAUGUGAGCAGCUUUUCCUCUGAUGGGCUCUUCUACUGUGCAGUUUCUCCUCUGCAGCUGGAAGGCCAUGAACGGACUGAGACUUCUAGAGCUGUGGACCAGAAUGAGCUUCUCCUCCUUCAAGUUGCAGACUCCACAGUACGUGGUAGACAUGGUACCAGAACUGCCCUUCUGCAGUGUGCCCCAAACGUCUCCCACAGAGCAUUUUGUGGUGACUGCCUCCGUUUUCCUCCUCCCAUCUCACUUGUUUCCUGCAGCUGGAUGAUUUGAUUAUUCAAGGACUGAUUAAUCAUAUUGCAAAUUACCCAAGCACCUUGUUUCUUUUCCUCCCUACUUCCUACCUCUUUUUAAUUUUUUACAAUCUAUUUGUCUUUUGACAUUUUACAGAUUAACCCCAAGAGCCAUCAGAAUAAGGCUUAGAAAAGAAAAAUGGUAGAGGGAAAAACAGUUAUGUUGCUCUACUUAAUAGUGGUAGAAGAAAGUACAUGUUUAGGAUUAAAACUUAGAUUUUUACCUUUAGCUGUGAAAUUCCAUUACUUAUUUUCUUUUGCUUCUCCAAAACCACAAUUUGGUGAGGGAAAGUGGCUUUACAACGAUACACAGAGAAUUCCUAAUAAUUGGCAGGCCGAAGGCAAGGACCGCUCACUCUACAUGAACAUUUGGUAUUAUUGAUGAUUUCUGAUGGCGCAUGCAGAGGGUAUGGAGCCCGCCAUCUGAGAAUGCAAUGUACUGGUCAUAUCCAAGCCCUUUCUCUUGGGGGGCAGCAUUGUACCACUUCCGGUGGGCAAAAUGCCUUUGUCCAAUCAGAGAGCUCAGACUUAGAGGCGGGCGAUUUGCCGCUCACUGAGUCCCAGGUGUGAAGUGAGCACCAGGUUGGGAAGAUGUGAGGCUCAAGAUGGAGCCACCUGAGUGCAAGCAGUUGAAGAAUUUGUCCUAAGAAACACCUGCCGUUCACCUUGCCUCCGCCCUCCCCUACAGACAAGAUCCCCAGUCACUUUCAAGGUAAGAAUAAGCUGAUAAGCUCUUAUGUUUUCCUCCUCCAACACACUCAUGAGAAAAUGUGACGGUGACUGUUCUCAACCAGAAUCAGCUUUGCCCCUGGGUACACGUGGCAAUAUCUGGAAACACCUUUGGUGUUAGAACUGAAAUCUCUGCUGGCAUCAACUGAGUGGAGCCCAGCAAUGCCGCUAAUGUCCUGUAAUGUGGAGGACAGACCUGUGCAACAGAGGAUUACUCAGGCCCCACUGUCACAGCAUCCAAGUUAGAAUUCUUGAGAGGAGGCCUCUACUUCUCCAAGUUUGGACCAACUACACUGGAAGUGUCCAAUAGCCGUGCGGCCAAGGGCUACCACAUUGGACAGCAAGGUUCUGGAGUAUGAGAGAUGAGGGCAGAAGGGCUAGAAUACUAAUUUCUAUUGCAUCAAAGUGGUUGGAGAUGAGACAGACUGAGAACAAAGACACUUAGACGGGGCAGUUGGGAUAUGCCAGGUGAGAGACAAUGAGCUAAGAUGAAGAGAAGAGAAUAAUUUGGAGGAAUAUUUCAAAGAAGGAAGAAUAUAAGUCAAUAGAAUCUGGAACCUGAUUUGUUGUGGUCAUGGCUGAAGGUUCUGGUAAGAAGCAUAUCCCUAAUUGUUACUGGGGAUAUCACAGCAAGACCAGGGUGGGGAGACAAAGAUGUUUGUUUUAGACAAAUUGAGACCUACGUACUGUUAAUUAAUAAAGCUUCCAGCAAAAAGAGAUAAUAAUCACUGCCCAUCCAUAGGGUCAGCUCAGUGGGGGCCAAGAAGAUGCCUGUGUACUAGGUCACUUCUCCACAUUGUCUUGAUUUAGUACCAACUACCUAAAAGAUCUGGAAUAAAAAUGUCAUCUUCAUGAAACCACUGCAGCACUGAAUAGAGCACAUGGAAAACAACCUUGGGAGAAACUAUGCAAUCUGGAUAGAUGUUCACGUAACGGACAGCAGUUUGUAGAGGCAACAAGCGGGACAACAAGUGGGCAACAACCUUGCUUCCUGAAGUGUUUUCCCACUCAAGAAUCGAAGGCUGAUGAGAAGGAAGAGGUUAUACAGUUAGCAGGGCAGGCUCUGUGUGGCGGUUCUCUUCAGUUUUCCAGCAUUGUUAUGGUUUAUGUCUAAAUGUCCCCCUAAAGCCUUGUGUGGUCCUGGGCAGAUUGAAUCGUGUAGUGCUACAGUGGACUUGCUCUUGGGAGACACGGCCUGGUCAGGAGAGGUGGGAACUGGGGAGGGGCUUGGAAGGCUUUAUCUCCCCUACCAGCUCCUCCCUUUGCUAUCUCUGCUUUCCCCUCACUGGCAGGAGCCGCAUCUCCUCUAUGGCGCCCCUCCACCAUACUGUCCUGCUUUGGAGCCAUAAACUGAAACCUCUACGAACCGGAAGCCAGUAUAGACCUCUCCUUCUUUAAUUUGUGGGUGUUGGAAUUGUGUCUCAUGGAUGCAAAAGUAACUAAGACAAGCACCUUUGCUGCACCGCCUACUGCACUGUUCAUUCAUGGCUUUGUUUGUACUUAGCUUCAGCACCCUGGCUGAGCUCAGCAGACACAGACCUAGGGAAAACCCUAGGGCACUGGUUUUGAGGAGAAAAGAUGAGAUUCUGAACGAGUUCCAUUAGAAUCCAGGAGCUUGUAGCGGGCGGGAGCUGGGAGACAGCAAUAGUGCAGCUUCAGAGGACCCUCGCUACCAUCAAACUCACACCAAGGCCCCCACUCCUCAUUCACACGAGGCUAUGUGGGGGUGGCUCACCAUCUGCUGGGGCACUGAGCUUGAGGACCAUCUGUGCGGCCACUGCCCAAGAGGAUGUGGCUGCACACUGGCCUGAGGAUCAUACUGGUUUGGUCAGUAAAGGCAGGCAAUGGUCUUCAGGUUCCGAGGUGUCGCUCCCCGGAUGAAAAGUCUUGGGGAGAUAAAAAGUGAAGAGAUGUGGAAGGGAGGUUGGGUUUUGGAGAAUGGAUGGACCCUGGGUGGACAGAGAGUUCUGCUAGAACAGCAGAGCACUUCCCGGGAGCUGAAGGGUGUUGGCAGGGGAUGGUUUAUGUGGCACCUAAUUUCAUUGAUCAUCACACAGGAAAACGGGGAAGCUUCCCUAAGCAGAGGGAAGCAGAGCAGAGCUGGAAGCUGUAGGAAAGCUAGAAAGUAGGGCCAGCUAUCGGAAGAUCCAAUUAGAGAGUUACAACUGUUCCCGGGGAGAAAGCAAGCUCUCACCUCUUGGACAGUUGUAGUGAGGUGACCCUGGGGGGGUCACUGAACCAAUCUGGCACCUAAUUUCUUUACUUGUAAAAGAUGAGUCAAAAUACUGGACUGCAGGGCAGGUUAACUGGGAUAACGUGUGUAAAGGGCCUGGUACGUUGAGGCAACUCUCCUGCUCCUGCGCGUCUUCUUUCUCCACCUUUGUGAGCGACCAUCUCAGUACCAGGACUCUCACUGUUGUGACAAUUCGAAUUCUUAGUUUUAAAUAGUGCAGUUUCCAGCUUGGUCAGAAGCUCAGUAGUAGGGGCUGGGGAUUUAGCUCAGCAGCACAGUGCCUGCCUGGCAAGCGCAAGGUCGUGAGUUCAAUUCCUGGUACUGGAAAAAACCCCCCCCAAAAAAGAAAAGAAACUCAGUAGUGUAAUAUGUAUGGGGACCCUCUGUUGACAACUGGAAUAACUGAAGAUACCUCCUUAGUCCAGAUUUUUGGGCCCCAAUCCUUGGAGUUACUCACGAUUCUAACUCUGUUUCUUAAAACGCCCGUCUGCUAUAAUCUUAUCUUGUUUUUCUCUUCGGAAUGCACUCAGAGUCUGACUGCUUUUCAUCAUUUUCCUGCUAACACUUAGCAAGGGGCACUGUCGUCUAUGAAGCGGACCACUGCUGGAGGUUCCUGACUGGCCUCUGUUUCCUCCUUUCUCUCCCCAGCCCAUCCAUAGCAAUGAGAGGUGCUUGCUUAAACCUUUCAAAUAUUGUUAUUAUGCUGCCUCCACACCCUUCUCCACUUCCCAUCUCUCUCAGCAUAAGGGUCAAAGUCCUUACAGUGGUAUGCAAGUCCUCUGCAGUCUCCCCUUCUUGUUAAUUCUCUGAUUUCACCCUUCUUAUUGCUGUCCUUAACCCCAGGUCAGCUCCAGUUGCUCUCGCCUUGUCUGGCCCAGACCUGUCUCCAGAUGUUUGCGUUUUACUUCCUUUGUCUGGAAGGCUCCACUUUCCCCUUUCAAGUCUGGGCUCUAGUGGCACCUUCUCAGUGAUGCUGUCCCUGACACCCCCAAUAUCCCAGCAUGCCCCUCUGGAUUCUUCUCUCAAAGUACUUGUCACUUUCUAUCACCUUACAUUAAUUGACUCCUAAAGACUAUCACAGAAGGUUAUCAGUGUAUUAUGGGCCACCAUAAAGAAAAAAAUACCAAGUAUAAUUUGACUAUUCAAUUAAAAACCCAUACAUACUAAUUUA